CCGGCCUCAGCCGGCGCACCUGGCGGAGGAGGAACCUCGCGACGCGCUCUCGGGCAUCGGUUUCUCCCAGCAAAGCUUGGAGGGUUUAGCUGCGCGGAGAGCUCAGCGAGCUCUUCUGUGUCUGUUUGGGGCGUGUGGGCUCCGGGAGCGUGAGGACCGGGAAGCUAGGAGGCUCCUUCCCUUCUGGCGGCUCCCUCACUGAGACCGGGCGGUUUGGUUGCGGGGGAAGUGGAGACGAGCCACCCUUGACCUUUGACUGCAAGAACUCACCUUGAGCAGGAUAGAGGCACGUGGACGGUGACCCUCGGGAUGCAAUAAAUGCUGAGACAGAUCAGGUGUGCAAGGCACAGAGCUAGAGGCCAGAGGCCUUUCUUCUCCAACCUUCAGUCACCUCUUUUUAAAGUGAAGCCAGCAUCCUCCUCGGGGUUUACUGUGAAAAUUAAGUGAGCUGACGCGUGCUGUGUUUUGAUGUUGCUUGGCUCCUACAAACAUUGAGUGGGCCAGACACUGUUCUGAAAAAUACGCAGUCGACUUUUGAACAGCACAGGCUUGAACUGCAUGCGGCCACUAAUACUCGGACUUCCUUCUGCCUCUGCCAUCCCUAAGACAGCAAGACCCACCCCUCCUGCUCCUCAGCCUACUCGAUGUGAUGAUGGUUCCUGCUUCCCCUUUGCCUUCUGCCAUGAUUAUAAGUUUCCUGAGGCCUCCUCAGCCAUGCAGAACUGUGAGUCAAUUAAGCCUCUUUCCUUUAUAAAUUACCCAGUCUCGGGUAGUAUUUUUAUAGCAGUGUGAAAAUGGACUCAUACACAGAGAGUACCUAAAGGAGGGGCUGCCACCACCUCAUUCCUACCUGAUUCUUGUUCUAGAUCCUGAGCCCGUUGCUCUAGCCUACUGGCUUGUUUCAUCCUACUUUGUGUCUCCUCCCACCCUGUAAUGAGCCAAAUGUUGGCCCCCCAAAAGAUAUGUCCACAUCCUGAUCCCUAGAACCCAUGAAUCUGACCUUACUAGGAAAAGAAGUCUUUCCAGAUAGAGUUAAAUUAAAGACCUUGAAAUGAAGAAAUGAUUUUGGAUUAUCCUGGUGACCCCUAAAUCCAAUAGCAAAUAUCUUUAAAAGAGGCACACAGAAUGGAAGGCCAUGUGAAGACAGAGGCAGAUACUGGAGAGAUACAGCCACAGGCCCAUGAAUGCUGAUGGCCACCAGAAACCAGAGGAAGCAAGGAAGUAUUCUCCCCUAGAGUCUCUGAAGGGAGCGUGGCCCUGCCAGCAUCUUGAUUUUGGACUUUUGUCCUCCAGGACUGUAAGAAACAAAUUUCUGUUAAAUCACAAAGCUUGUGGUCAUUUGUUACUGCAACCAUAGGAAAUUAACGUGUACCCUAACUCUUUUCCCUGCCCAUCCUUCCUCCAUUACCUAUCCUCUACUUCCUGGGUGUGGCCCUCAGCCCCUGUUUGGGUUCUCAGCUCUGCAGGUAAGCCGCCUUCAGCUUCACUGGGUCUGUACCUUUCUUGUGGUUGAUAAGUCCUGCGGCUGCCUAGCCUGGUGCUCUUCUUUCCUUCCCCAUCUCUUCUUUGAUCUCCCCUUGGAGAGUCACAACUGACCAGGCCCCCUGUCCCACAAGGAAAACUAGAGGCCAGAAUGAACUGGAUCUAGCCAAAAAGCACACCAAAGUGGGCUCUUUUCAUCAAAUGUGCAGCAGAAAGGGUGUCCAUGCAACAGAUAUUUCACUCUCCCUGUGUGACUCAGAGAAGGCAGACAUACUCAACUCUUGUUUCCAACUUCUCUAUUUAGGAGCUAUUCGAAUGCAAAAGAUAGGAGAGAGCUUGUGUGACAGUUCUGGCAGUGGCUGUGGCAUCUGGAGUGUCUGCACCCAAAGAGUUGCCCUUCUCAGUCUAGAAAGACCAUUCUGCCAGACGCGGUGGCUCACGCCUGUAAUCCCAGCACUUUGGGAGGCCAAGGCGGGUGGAUCACCAGAGGUCAGGCAUUCAAGACCAGUCUGGCCAACAUCGCGAGAUCCCGUCUCUACUAAAAAUACAAAAAUUAGCGGGCAGGCAUGGUGAUGCACGCCUGUAGUCCCAGCUACUCAGGAGGCUGAGCCAUGUCACUUGAACCUGGGAAGCAGAGGUUGCAGUUGAGCCGAGAUCAUGCUACUGCACUCCAUCCUGGGUGACACGCAAGACUCUGUCUCAAAAAUGAAUAAAAGAAAGCCCAUUCUAUUAUGAGCAGUUCAAGUAAGUGCAGAGAGAGGAAGGGGACAGUUGCCCACAUAGCCAAGUCAGUCCCAGGGAUAGUGAACAAUAAGUUGCCUCCAGAACUUCAAGAUUAGGAGCCACUGGAUAAUGAGAGUCAGCACAGGGACAAAACAGAUGUCAAGGAUUCUUCUUUUGUCAUCCUGAGUCCAUGUGACUAAAUUUCAAGAGGGCAGGUUAGAAAAAGCAAAGUUGAUGGGGCAUUACCUGUGGUUUGAACUUCUACCUGUCAUAUUUCAGGAAAUCACCAUGAGGAGCUUGACUUAGGAAAUUAAGGAAGACGUGUCCUUUUGUUGAUUUUCACAUGGGAAGACAAGGGUGUGUGUGUGUGUGUGUGUGUGUGUGUGUGUGUGUGUGGUGAGACACAAGGGUUGAAAACUAACUGGUUCUCAGUUUGUGGUGUUUCCUGCCAUCAGCAAUGGCCUUGGGGAUGACUCCCACUCCUCCCUUCUAGCCCCCAAGAAGACUACAAUUGUCUCUUGCUCCAAGUUAGUCUUCAGGAAUACAAAGCCCAGCAAGUGCAGGGGGGCUCAGUGUGAUGUGCACACAGUGUGGCACAGCCCAAGAGUCCGGCUUUGGAGGCAGUGAUCUCUCAGAACUAAGACCACCCUGAAUUAAGACCACCCUGUCAGCAUCCCCUUACUCUGACCAUGCAGCAUGGUCUUUGGGCUCCACAAAUAUCCUUGAAGCCAAGAGUCACAAUUUGGGUGGGAAUCGCAAGCCCAGCCAGCAGGCAAAGAUGGAGGCCAGAGGGCAGCUGAGCAUCCAUUGUCACUGGUGUCCACUCCCAGAGCUACUUGGAGGUGGGCACUAGCGAACAAAAGCCCUCAGAAGAGAGAAGGGGACACCACUGCCCUGGUAGCCCCCAUCCUGUCUUUGGCCUGUAGGCCUCUGCACACUGUAAGCCUAGACCAGCCUCAACUAUAUCACACAUUGACUUUUUUCCUCUCUGGACAAUGGUAGCCUGGAGUAUUGUAAUACCCAUGGAAUUUUUAUAGGGUACCUAAGGGAUAUUUAUCAGAUCUCUGAGUUCUUUCCAGAAGUCCAGGAAGUAGUUAACAGAGGAUGACUAAUAGGAAACAAAAACACAACACCACUACAACCUGAGAUUCAGAAAUGGAAAGACUUGGGUUUGAAUUCAGCUACCCUACUCACUAGCUGUGUGACUCUGGGCAAGUUACUUCACCUCUCUGAGCCUCUGUCUGAAAAAUGCAGACAAACCCUAUUAACCGCUCCUGAUUUCUGUGAGUAGGGAUUUCUUUUUCACACCUCUCCAAUGGAAGCAGCCUUAGUCAUCUGGUUUUGGGGCAACAUCGGCCAGUCUGCAUUUUUCAGUUGGUUGAAGCGAUCUACCAGUUGGGGACGUUUGCUCUUUUGCCUUCACCCUUUAACCUGAGCCAGUGGGACGCAGUGACCUGGCUGAGGACUGUGUUCUGCAGACUCAUACAUUACCUCAGAGGGAAGCUAAAAACCAGAACGCUGCCAGAACUGUCUCUUUCUUCCUCUCUCUUCCUCAUCGUCAUUAUCAUCUCCUCAAGUCAGUUUUCUCUGCUUCUCUGUUCCUACGGCUGAACACCAGCCCCACUCAAAUCCUACAUUUAUUAAUAUAUGAGAUACCCGUUGAUAUGGUUUGGCUGUGUCCUCAUUCAGAUCUCAACUUCAAUUGUAUCUCCCAGAAUUCCCACAUGUUGUGGGAUGGACCUAGGAGGAGGUAAUUGAAUCAUAGGGGCUGGUCUUUCCUGUGCUAUUCUCAUGAUAGUGAAUAAGUCUCAUGAGAUCUAAUGGGUUUAUCAGGGGUUUCCACUUUUGCUUCUUCCUCAUUUUCUCUUGCUGCUGCCAUGUAAGAAGUCCUUUUCACCUCCCGCCAUGAUUCUGAGGCCUCCCCAGCCAUGUGGAACUGUAAGUCCAAUUAAACCUCUUUUUCUUCCCAGUCUUGGGUAUGUCUUUAUCAACAGCAUGAAAACAGACUAAUACAGUAAAUUGGGAUCAGUAGAGUGGGGCAUUGCUGAAAAGAUACCCGAAAAUUUGGAAGUGACUUUGGAACUGGGUAACAGGCAGAGAUUGGAACAGUUUGAAGGGCUCAGAAGAAGACAGGAAAAUUUGGGUAAGUUUGGAACUCCCUAGAGAUUUGUUGAAUGGCUUUGCCCAAAAUGCUGAUAGUGAUAUGGACAAUAAAAUCCAGGCUGAGGUGGCCUCAGAUGGAGAUGAGAAACUCAUUGGGAAUUUAAGCAAAGUUGAUUCUUGCUAUGUCUUAGCAAAGAGACUGGUGGUAUUUUGUCACUGCCCUGAAGAUUUGUGGAACUUUGGACUUGAGAGAGAUGAUUUAGGUAUCUGGUGGAAGAAAUUUCUAAGCAGCAAAGCAUUCAAGAUGUGACUUGGGUGCUGUUAAAGGCAUUCAGUUUUAUAAGGGAAGCAGAGCAUAAAACUUUAGAAAAUUUGCAGCCUGACUAUGCAAUAGAAAAGAAAACCCAUUUUCUGGGGAGAAAUUCAAGCUGGCUGCAGAAAUUUGCAUAAGUAGUGAGAAGCCUAAUGUUAAUCCCCAAGACCAUGGGGAAAAUGUCUCCAGGCCAUGUCAGAGACCUUCAUGGCAGCCCCUCCCAUCACAGGCCUAGAGGCCCAAGAGGAAAAAGUGGUUUUGUGGGCUGGACCCAGGAUCCCCAUGCUUUGUGCAGCUUAAGGGCUUGGUAGCCUGCACCCCAGCCUCUCCAGCCAUGGCUGAAAGGGACCAACAUAUAGCUCAGGCUGUGGCUUCAGAGGGUCAAAGCCCCAAGCCUUGGCAGCUUCCACGUGGUGUUGAGCCUGCGGGUGCACAGAAGUCAAGAACUGAGGUUUGGGAACCUCCACCUAGAUUUCAGAAGAUGUAUGGAAAUUUCUGAAUGCCCAGGCAAAAGUUUUCUGCAGGAUGGCAGCCCUCAUGGAGAACCUCUGCUAUGGCAGUGCAGAAGGGAAAUGUGGAGUUGGCGUCCCCACACAGAGUCCCUAUUGGGGCACUGCCUAGUGGAGCUGUGAGAAUAGGGCCACUGUUCUCCAGCUCCCAGAAUGAUUGAUCCACCAACAGCUUGCACCAGGCACCUGGAAAAGCCACAGACACUCAAUGCCAGCGAAGAGAAAGCAGCUGCAAAGCCACAGGGGCAGAGCUGCCUAAGACUGUGGGAACCCACCUCUUGCAUUGGUGUGACCUGGAUGUGAGACCUGGAGUCAAAGGACAUCAUUUUAGAGCUUUAAAAUUUGACUGUCCGCUGGAUUUCCGAUUUGUAUGGGCCCUGUAACCCCUUUGUUUUGGCCAAUUUCUCCCAUUUGGAAUGGCUGUAUUUACCAAAUACUUGUAUCCCCAUUGUAUUCAGGAAGUAACUAGCUUGUUUUUGAUUUUACAGGCUCAUAGGUGGAAGGGACUUGCCUUGUCUUAGAUGAGACUUUGGACUGUGGACUUUUGUGUUAAUGCUGAAAUGAGUUAAGGCUUUGAGGAACUGUUGGGAAGGCAUGAUUGGUUUUGAAAUGUGAGAACAUGAGAUUUGGAGGGGCCAGGGACAGAAUGAUGUGGUUUGGCUAUGUCCCCAUUCAAAUCUCAACUUGUAUCUCCCAAAAUUCCCACGUGUUGUGUGAGGGACCUAAGAGGACGUGAUUGAAUCAUGGAGCCGGUCUUUCCCAUGCUAUUCUCAUGAUAGUGAAUAAGUCUCACGAGAUCUGAUGGGUUUAUCAGGGGUUUCCACUUUUGCUUCUUCCUCAUUUUCUCUUGCUGCCACCAUGUAAGAAGUGCCUUUUGCCUCCCGCCAUGAUUCUGAGGCCUCCCCAACCAUGUGGAACUGUAAGUCCAAUUAAACCUCUUUCUCUUCCUAGUCUCGGGUAUUUCUUUAUCAGCAGCAUGAAAAUGCACUAAUACACCCCCAGUCACAGAAAGGGUCUAACUUGAUGUAUCAGUCCCAAGUCCCAAGCUGGCCCAGUUUCAGACAGACCUUCCCCUGGUCCAGUCAGCUAGGCUUUAGCAUCUGAGUCAUAUGGGACCAACGUGACUGUCAGGAUACAUACACUCUCUGGCUGGGGAUUUGUGGGGAGGGGAUAUGUUAAUAUUCUAUUGCUGCUAUAACAAAUGAUCACAUUUUGGCUUAACCAAUUUGAAUUUGUUAUCCUACAGUUAUAGAGGUCAACAGUCUAAUGUGGGUUUCACUGGGCUAAAAUCAAGGAGCUGGCACGGCUGUGUUCCAUUCUGGAGACUCUGGGGGAGAAUCCAUUUAUUUGCCUUCCCCAGCUCCUAGAUGCUGCCCACGUUCUUUGGUUCACGGCCCCACCCUCUUUCUCUGAAGCCAGGUAUGAUGGGUGGAGAUCUUCUCACAUCGCAUCACUCUGACACUGACUGUCCUGCCUCCCUCUUCCACAUUUAAGGACCCCUGUCAUGACAUUGGGCCCACCCAGAUAGUCCAAGAUAAGCCCCCUAUCUGAAGGCUAGCUGAUCAACAUCACAAAUUCCAUCUGCAACCUCAGUGCCCCUUGCCAAGUGACAUACAUAUUCACACAUUCAGCAAUUAGGACUUGGACAUUUUUGGGGGGCUGUUAUUCAGUCUACCACAAUGAGGUAGCUCCAGUAAAAAGAUGGGGUGAUUAUGAGCUGGGCAGACACCCCUUUUGUGUCUUCCUGGAAGACAGAGAGAUCCACCUACUCUUUUCCAUUUCUCAAACAAUGUUUGUAGGCCUGCUCUGGUAAUACUCCAGGGGUCUACAGAAAUUAAGAAAACAGAACCUUUUCCCUUUGAGGAUUUAACCUAGUAGGAGACACACCAAUAUCCAAACACAAAGCAAUGUUCUUCUGAAAUCUUCUAGUCCUUUCUACCUCUUUUAAGGUACUUAUCCCACUCUGCUCACCCCAUUUUAGAGGCGUCAACUCACAACAAUGUGAUCAACAGUCACCAAAGUUCAAGUCCUCUCUCUCCCCUCCUUCUCCUGGCCUCCAGGUUGAGAAGUUUGGUGCAACUUCUUCCCAGGGCUGACUUCGUCCACCCCAGGAGUUUCAUAGAGCACCUCAUAAAAACCCAUUUACUGGUUUCCCCAACAUAAUGGCAGAAAUAAACUACUUGAUACACACUUGGAAAUCCCUUCCAGAGAACAUGUGCAUUGUUUUGUUGGCAUGGCAUCUUGGUUUCUAACUUGAAUUUCCACCGCCUUUGCUUUUUUGACAGUAUCUUCCAUGAUUAAGAUGGCCGAAUCCUCCACUUUUUAUUGAGUUGGACAGCAAAUCACAGAAUAAAUGCUUUCCCUUGCACUUUAAAAGGAUUUAAUAGGAAAAUAUUUUUCCUACAUCCUGUUUCAAGGGGAAAAUGUGAUUUUAAGGGGCAUUUUAUAGUUCACAACAGGAUAUUGAAGGGCAUUUGGUUUUGCUUAGUUUAUUAUGACUGUGUUUCUCCAGCAUGAAGUAGUGUUUUUUGUGAUUAUUUAGAUAAGUGUGAUUAUGGUAGAUAGGCAGCUAUCGAAUUAUGGAAAUUUAGGACUGGAAAGGGCCUUAAAUAUCAUCCAGGCCAAACUUCCUCAUUUUUCAGAUGAGAAAACAAAUGACUUGUCCAAGUUCACAUGUUGAGUUGCAGGGGAAAAUGAGAUUAGAAUCUUUAUCUUCCAACUGUUUAAUGUCCCCCAAACAGUUUUGUGAUGAGAGUAGGAGUAAGGAGAGUAGCAUUUAUUCAAGGAGAUCCCUAUGUAUCUGUAAGCAGUUCUGAAUAUGAGAAUUGGAGUAACUGAUAUGUGUGGAUUUGUGUGUAUUUCAUUCAUUCAUUCAUCCAUUAAGCUAGCCAGUCAGUGAGUCAUAUUCUAAACAUAUUCCCAGUGUCUACUCAGUAGGUGGCACGUGCUAGGUGCUGAAAAUAUAAAAACAAAGCUGAAGUCCCCGCCUUGGAGCAAGUCAAGGAGUAAUGGACAGACAAGUGUGUACAGACAUAAUUAUAAUUAAACAUAAAUGUGAUAAUGGAGUUUGUUGUUUUUUCAUGGCAGCUUCAAACCAUGAAAUUAAAAAGCUACUCUGCAGGGACAGGAAAUGAUCAGCACUCCAGAAAUAGAGUUGGAGAGAUGCUUUCCUUAUGGUCCAUUUCUGGCCAUUUCAUUAUCUCUGUCUUGAUGGGACUCUAUGGAGCAGGAACCACCUCUUAGCCUGGCAUUGUGGCAAGAGCCUCAGUUCUCUGUCAGACAAGCUUGGGUUCAAAUCCCAGUCACUUAUUAAUAAUGAGUUCUUUCAAGGUUAUUUCCUCAUCUAUGAAUAAAAGAUAAAAACGCAUCCAUCAGGUUGUUGUACAUGUAUAUUAGUCUGUUCUCAUGCUGCUGAUAAAGAUAUACCCAAGGCUGUGUAAUGUAUAAAGGAAAAAAAAAGAGCUUUAAUGGACUCACAGUUCCACGUGGCUGGGAAGGCCUCACAAUCAUGGCAGGAGGUGAAAGGCACAUCUUACAUGGUGACAGACAAGGAGAGAAUGAGAGCUAAGCGAAAGGGGUUUCCACUUAUAAAACCAUCAGAUCUCAUGAGACUAAUUCACUACCAUGAGAACAGUAUGGGGGAAACCGCCCCCAUGAUUCAACUAUCUCCCACCAGUCCCUCCCACAACUCGUGGGAAUUAUGGGAGCUGCAAUUCAAGAUGAGAUUUGGGUGGGGACACAGCCAAACCAUGUCAAUGUGUUAAAUGAGAUGAUCCAUAUAAAGUGUGUAGCACAGCAUCUGGUGUAGUUAGUCAUAAAAAAACCCAGCCAUCAUGGCAAUGGGGAUGUUGAGGAUGAAACCAGACAGAAGAAACUUCAGACUGGCAAUGCCAAGGUAGCUGGAGGUGGUGAGAAGUCUUCUUUAGAUUUUGGAAGGAAGCUUGGUUCCUUUCAGUCCUCUAUAUCACCCAACGAAUGUGUGUUGUUCAAGAGCGAAGACUGAGACGGUACCUUGGACAAGUGUUUGGAAUUAAAGGAAGCACUUAGAAAGUAAUUGGCCACAUGGUUUGGGUAAAUCUCAGAGAAUGUUUCUAGGAUUUGGAAUAUUUAUUCUGGAGAAGAGAAGAUUUAGGGGUUGGAUGAAAUGAAAGUCCUCAAGCACAUGAACCAGUGGUGGAGAGCAGCUGUUCCCUAUUUCUGUUUUGGACUGAAUGAGAGGAAACGAGCUUACAUUGAAGCAUGAGGGAUUUAGGCUAAACAUGAAGAAGAAUUUCCUGGAUGUGGGUGUUGUUGGACUUUGGAAUGAGUUACCAAGGUGUCUACAAUAAGGACAGUGUCUCUCUGGCUGCAGAUCUUGAAGUGUGGAAGCAUUGGCUCCAUGCAGGAAUGUCUACACUCACACGCUCUUUCCAAGUGGGAGAGUCUGUGACAUUAACGGGAUCUUCUAACGUGAGGAUAUGAGUCUCAGUCAACCCCAAACCACUGUCCAAAACCUUGAUCUAGCAUAAGAAAUGGUUGUGGUAGGAGCUGGAUGACUAUCUCUGGCAAUCUGCAGUUUGACAUUCCACAAAUACCAUGAUUGCUUAUGUAGGCUACUCCAGCGACCAAACACCUCCCCUCUUUGAAAUGUAUUAAGAAAUUCUCUGCAGGGCUUCUUUCACCAAAAGUGCAUUUAAUAGAGCUUGGAAUUUCCUCACAAUGCAUUUAUUUUUGUUGAUAUAUUUUUAGGUCUCCAUUAUUACUUGUCUGCACCUUCCUUUGCUUUGUAGGCAUAAGCUAUCAAUAACCGGGCAUUGACCACACUGUGGGGGUUCUCCCCUUCCCUCCCAUGGAAGCUAAGUCUUUAGCUGUUAAUUUCAGAAGGUUUUAAGCCAACCACUAGUUUUCAUUAUUGUACAUCAAAAAGGCAGGCAAAUCGCAGCAGCUGUAAGUUCAAAGGACACAAAGGUCUCACUGUGAGCAUCACAGCAAAUAGUUUUGGGUUCCCCUCACCCCAAAAGUAGCCCAUGGUGGGUUAAGUUUUUAUUUUUAAAUAGAUUUAGAGUUGAAUAACUAGCCCUUGUAAGGGACUUCAACAAAGAGGCUGUAUAUUGGCACAUAUUAAAUAUGCCCCUAUACACCCCAAAUUGUUUUGUCCAAAAUGUCUCGUUUAUUAUAAUUUCAUUGAUAAAGCCCUUGAUUGUAGCCCAGGGACUUUCACAUAUUGGCUGCCUCCUGUUGGACCCACAGGCCUCUAUUGGUGAUUCCAAAUCAGCCGUGCAUGGCCCUUGAUCCCCUCCUGUAGAGGGACUGGGUGAUGGUAUCUAUAAACCAACAGAAUAGCUCUUUUCCAGUAAAUCCCCCACAGAGUCCAGAAAAAUAUGCAAGCAGUCCUUUUACUUCAAGUUUCUACCCACACAGGGUCAACAGAGGGAGGAGAGGCAGAGGCAGCUGCCCUAGAAGCAGCCAUCGUCCCAGUCCCAUAGCCAGUGUGAAAUCUUAGCCCUCUUUUCCUUACACAUGGCCGUGGCCGCUCUUCUAGUCAGCACCGAAAUCUCCUCCCUGAAGAGCUUCUUUCUCUUCCUCCCUUCUUCCUUCCUCCAUUUCUUGGUCCACUGAAGUCCCUGGAGAUCCCCUGGGUCCUGUCCUCUUUGAGUUGUCAUUGUCUUUGCUUCUGUUGCUCAUGCCAGGGCUACAGGAAAUUUGCUGCGUCCCCCUAGGUACUGUUGUCAGAGUGGACUCUGGGUCAAAGAGUCAGACCUUUCAUUGGUGUGCUUCAAGUCUAAGCUUUGCAAGCUCUUUCUCUAUGUUACGUCUGCCUCCUUCCUCUUUAGUUUGUCUUUUAUUUGUCCUAGCCUUGAGGAGUGAAGGUUCCAGGAAAUUGAGGAUGGGAAUAUAGUGGAAAAUCCAUUCCCCACAGGAAAAUAUUCUGAAAUUUCUGGCUUGGGUGACAGGCUGUCAUUGAUAGAGCUAGAUAACGAUGAAGGUGAUGAUAAUGAUAGCCAAUCCUAUGUAGCACUCAUUAAGUACCAAGCACUAUUAAGUGCUUGAGGGAGAAUAAAUCAUACAAUCCUAUGUGGCUCGUAUUCUUGUCAUAUGCAUUUUGUUGAUAUAAAAAAAAAAUCAAGGCACAGAAUGAUUAAGACACAUACCUGAGGUCAUACAGCUAGUAAGUUGCAGAGCAAGAAUGGAACCCAAGGCCGGGCGCGGUGGCUCAUGCCUGUAAUCCCAGCACUUUGGGAGGCUGAGGCUCGUGGAGCACAAGGUCAGGAGUUCGAGACCAGCCUGGCCAACAUAGUGAAACCCCGUCUCUACUAAAAACACAAAAAGUAAAAUUAGCCGGGCAUGGUGGCACACGCCUGUAGUCCCAGAUACUCAGGAGCCUGAGGCAGGAGAAUCACUUGAACCUGGGAGGCGGACAUUGCAGUGAGCCGAGAUCGCGCCACUGCAGUCCAGCUUAGGCAUCAGAGCAAGACUUUGUCUCAAAAAAGAAAAAAAAUGGAACCCAAAAUGCUGGGCAUGGUGGCUCACACCUGUAAUCUCAGCACUUUGGGAGGCUGAGGCGGGUGGAUUGCUUUAGGGCAGGAGUUCAAGACCAGCCUGACCAACAUGGUGAAACCCCAUCUCUACUAAUAAUACAAAAAUUAGCUGGGCAUGGUGGCAGGCACCUGUAAUCUCAGCUACUUGGGAGGUUGAGGCAGGAGAAUUACUUGAACCCGGGAGAUGGAGGUUGCAGUGAGCCGAGAUCGCGCCAUUGCACUCCAGCCUGGGUGGCAGAGCAAGACUGUCUCAAAACAAAACAACAACAACAACAACAACAAAGAAUGGAACCCAGGCAACUCAUCCCCAAAGUCUCAGGAAGUCAUCAGGCCACAAGUGUGUGUGGACCAGUCAGGUGGAAAAGUAGAGCGGCAGGGGCAGGGACUCUGGCUUUGAGGCCAAGUGUGACCUGGAGAAGGAGCUUAGGGAGCCGUCUCACCCUUUGGGCUCCUGGCCCCACUGGGCUGCUCCUGCAGCUCUGCCUUGCUGGCUGAAUCAACAUCUUUUCUCCAUUUCAGUUUCAUUCCCUCUUGCCCACACAUCUUACUUAUUAAAGCCACCCGAUCCCACCCCAGGCAUCUCCAGGCUUAGUUUGUACUUCCUGCCCUCAAAGUUACUCCUGGUGCCAGGAUCUCCGCCUCACCAUUCUUCUCCUGCCUGCCCAUCCUCAAGGAUGGCAGGACAUGCAGCAUCCCUAGGAGGAAUUUGGCCGAGACUAGAAAAGCAGGGACGAUGCCGCCUCCUAGGGAAGGAGCAUUUUUCACAAGGCGGUUUUUUCCCUCCAUCCUGCUCUGCCCCAUCUCUGCUCCAGCUCCUAGAGCAGGAAAAUGCAACAGCCUCAUUUAGAGAAUAUAAUUUACAUAAAAUAGUUUCCAAAUUUAUUAAGGAAGCAGACAACAAAAGGAAACCCACAAUUAAAGAGGCUUUGCACGCAUUCGAUAUCUUUCCACUGGCUGAAGUAUAUCAUCUUCCUGAAUUAACGAGGUCUGGGCAAAAACUGUAGCACAAAAGUAUGCUUUGCUUUCAAGACUUCAGGGCCUUUAUCAUCCUGGGUGGGGCAGGCAGCAGGGGUGGAAUUGGCAGGGAAGAGUUAGAGGCCAAUCUGUCUUUUUAAGGAUGUGUUGCCGGACUGAAAUGGACAGGCUGGUACUGUAGGUACAGCUUUUUCUCUGUAAAGAGGGGAAGUGCUUUAUAUUUGGGGACACCCCAGUUUGUUCAUUCAGCAAAUCUUUUUAAAGAAAUUUUUUUAGAGACAGGGUCUCACACUCUGUCACCCAGGCUGGAGUGCAGUGGUAUGAUCAUAGCUCACUGUAACCUUGAACUCCUGGGCUCAAGUGAUCCCCUUACCUCUGCCUCCCAAAACACCAGGAAUACAGGCAGGGGAAGGAGCGUGUGUUUGUAUGUAACUAAGUAUCCAUCCAUUGAUUUUACUGUCAUGUCUUUAUCAUUUACCUAACCCUUUAUCCAGCCAUCCACUUAACACAUACUUUUUUGUUCUCAAAGUCAUUCGAAGCAAGUUGCCAGAGAUCUGGACCCAAGAGCAGCUGGGAAGGGAAGGGGUUGGGCAGGUUACCGGAGAUGCCCAGGAUGAGCUUCACUGAAGCCACAUGCCACUGUCCCCUUAGUAGCUUGUGAUACAGAGAGAGCCUGGCUUUGGAGUCAGGCAGCACUGGGUUUGAAUUCUGACUCAUUUUGUUACCACCAUCGACUAAUUCCUUUAUCUUAUUUCUUGUUUAUCUUAAGAAUGGAAUCACAACCACAAGGGUGUUGGUGGAUUAACUAGUAAUGUUAGUAAUGUGCUUAUGAUAUAAUAUCUCUCAUCGAGGUAGACAGCACAUAUUUUAUUCAUUGUCUAAGUAUCGAGCACCUGCUGUGUGUCAGGCAUCGCCCUACCUGCAGGAACUGUAAUAGAAACUACGAUAGCCCUGUCCUCAUUGAAAUUUUUUCAAGUACUUUAAAAUUUUUUUCCAGUACUUUUGCUAGUUAAAACCCUACACGAGGUACAAGAUCAAUGUACAAUCUGUAUAAACUUUGAAGAGCAAAGCAAAUAAAAGAUUAUCAAGAGCCAGAAUUUCAGGGACAGAUGCUCAUAUGAUUUCAUUAUAAAAAGAAACUAACAUGGAAAGGAGGCACGCAGAAAGUAACAAGAGGUUUUGAUGUCUGUUUUUUGUUUUUUAGAAAACCUAUGAGCUGUCUGUAGAAAAGAAAAAGUAAAUAUGACCUGAUGUUUCAGCUUCAGGCAUAAUAGCCCAGACAUUUUUGAAACCCACAAGGGUAGUUUUUACUUCUUCAGAAUGUCUUUUUUUUUUUUUUUUCUCCCCACAGUCUGGCUUCCUUUUCCCUUCAAUGGAAUAACAUAUACAAACUCUACCUAAGAGUGCUGUGUGAAGUACAUGCCAGCCUACAAGACAUGUCUCUAACCAAGUCGAAAGAGUGCAGUAUUCGUUCAUUCACUCAUUCAUUCAUUCAACAAAUGUUUAUUAAUAGGUAUUGUUUACCAAGCACUGUGUGUUAAGGAGAAGAUGGUAUGAAACAAGCAGACCCAGGCCUCAGGGAAGAGAGGCUGUUACAUUCAGAGACAAUUACCAUACACUACAAUGAAUGCUUUGAUGAAGGGAGGCAAAAAAACAAAAACAAAAACAACAACAACAAAAACCCCACAACGAUGUGGAUCCCUCCCUGUGGGGGUGAGGAGAAAGGAAAACAGCUUCAGGGAUCUCCAAGCCCUUGUGCCGGCCACUCUUCUUUCUUCUCUUCCUUCCUCCUCUGUCUUUCCUUUCAUCCUUCCUCCUCCCUUCUCUUUGGACAUCACUAAUAAAAGAGAAACAGAUGUCAGAGACGUAGACAUGGGGAGGGCUUUAAUAUCUAGCCUUACGGAACAAAAUCCUUGGGACCCAAUAGAACUUAGUGUUGCAGAGCUUUCUCCUGAGUUCAGCUAAAACCAGGCUCUUGUCACACGACCAGGGAAGAUUAGGCUCCCGGACACAUAGAAGGGUGAGGAAAACAGAAUUUAUUGGGCGAAAAGGAAAAAGAAAGAAAAACUCUCAGCGAAGUGAUAGGGGGUCUUGCCAACAACCUCUCUCCUCACAAAUUGAAUCCUAGGUUACCACAGAGGCCAGGUUCCUCUCCCCUGCAAACUUCGUGAACUUCCCCUGGCUCUACCCCUUUCCCCCAGUAAGAAGGUGGGCCUCAUUUAGAGAAAAUCGUUUGGGAAAGGGCAGGCUUCAUCAGGGACCAGCAAUCCAGUUUCUCAGCCUUCAGGCUGUUUUAGCCUUGGAGGUGGGGUUUCACCUGGGACACUUGGCUGCCCCCUGUCUCUAACAUUAGAUGUCUCUAACAUCUAUUCCCCUCCCUAUCUUUGCUGGACACCUGACUCUCUCCUAGAGCAACCCAGCAAACAUCUGUCUGUUGUGUACUUAAAUACCCCCACAGAUUGGGAACUGUCUCCUUUAUGGGAAAGCUCUUUAUAUUUGGGACACCCCAGUUUGUUCAUUCAGCACAUUUUCUUUUCAACUUUUUUAGAGACAAGGUCUCACUCUGUCACCCAGACUGGAAUGCAGUAGCGUGAUCAUAGCUCACUGUAACCUCGAACUCCUGGGCUCAAGUGAUCCUCCUGCCUCGGCCUCCCAGGAGCUAAGGGCUACAGGCGUGUGCCGCCACUCCCAGCUAGUUUUUUAAUUUUUAAAAAUUUUUUGCAGAGGUGGCGUCUUGCUAUGUUGACCAAGUUUGUCUCAAAUUCCUGGCUUCAAGCCAUCCUCCCACCUCUGCCUCCCAAAACACUGGGAUUUCAGCCGUGAGCCACCAACGCACCUGGCCUCAUUCUCCAACUCUUUACAAAGCUUCAAAGACAUCCCAGACGCUGGGAAUACAGAGACCAAUCAGAUACAAACCCUGCCCUCCAGCUGUUCGCAGCAUUCUCGCUCCUUUGCGGCCACCUCUUCUGCCCUGCUUUUCCACCUUGUCCCUUCUUCUGUCAAGUGGCUUUUGGCUUGGUCACCACUUUGCUGGUGUUUCUCUCCAGAAGUGAGUCCCAGACUUCAGGUGUGGUCUGACUCACGUCCUAUCGGGUCUCUCCCUCUGAAAACCGUGCUUGUAUUAAAGCAGCUUGGGAGCUCAUUAAUGUUCUUGGCAGCCAGGUCCUACCCCUGACAGUGCAGGAGCUGCCUGUCCACUUAGGGGACCCCUGUCUUUUUCACACGUGAGUCUGUUAAGCCUCACCUCCCUCAUCGCCUCCAUGUGUGCGGCAGUUUUCAACAAAUGUUCAGAGUACAACACCUGCCCUUGUUAAACGUAAUCUUGUUACACUAGUCCCCUUGUUUUAACUUCUCAAACAUUUUGAGUCUUGCUCCUGUUAACCAAGAAGACCUAGAAAGCUCCACAUCUCCUCUUAAAAUGUGUGUGUGUGUGUGUGUGCGUGUAUUCGUACGCACACCCCUGGGUACAGCUCUGAGGAGGCCACCUAUAGGUUUCUGAACAAUCUUCCAUGAAUACAGCUCAUUCAUACACACAUUUAUUUAUUCUGCAACAUUUAUUCAACAUUCCCUAACAAAACUUUCAUUCUUGAGCACUUUUUGCCCAAGCAUUACAGGGAUAAUAGAAGCAAACGAAUCCAUACUAAGGAGUGAAUUAUUGAUAGUGCUCACCUGCAUUUUUUUAAGCAGAAAGUAGUAUUUAUUUUGGCCUAAUUUCCACCUGUCAGAAAAUCAAAACAGUGAUGAAUUGCAUAUUGCUAUACUACAUUUUAUUAUCAGCAUCAAAAUUCAAGUGUGCUCUGCUUAAAAUUCAGAAGACAAACUUUCUCAUUUAGAAAAGUUCAUUCUGUUAGUGACUGAUCAGAAUGGAAUAAAAAUUUCAUGAUGCAUACAUACUGAUUGAAUUUUUUUUUCUUUUUUUAAAAAAAAUGUAUUUUAUUCUGGAUUCAAGGUGUGCAUGUGCAUAUCUGCUACACAGGUAUAAUUAUGUACUGGUGGGAUUGGGCAUCUAGUGUGUCCAUUACCCAAAUAGUGAACAUUGUACCCAAUAGGUAUUCUUCAACUCUAUCCCCCACUCUAAUGAUCCCCCCUUUGGGAGUCCCCACUGUCUAUAGUUUCCAUCUUUAUGUCCAUCUUUAUGUGCCCAUUGUUUAGCUCCCACUUACAAGUGAGAACAUAUGGUAUUCAGUUUUCUGUUUCUGUGUUAGUUUGUUUAGGAUAAUGACCUCCAGCUCCAUCCAUGUAGUUACAAAGGACAUGGUUUUGUUCUUCUUUUUUUUUUAAUGACUGCUUCACCUUCUUCUUAACUAUCCCAAGGUGUUUGGUUCUUAAACUGAUUGGUGAAAUCUAGCAGUCAUAGCAGAAGCAAGUGGAGACAAGGCUUGUUUAAAUAGUAUCAUUAAGCUGACUCUGACAGAGGCCUUUCCAUACACACCCAACCCUCUCCCCUAUCAGAGCUUCUAGAGAGGGAGGCUGGCUAACCCUGGGAUCCAGAAAUAUUUGGAGAAUCCUCGGGCCGGGCGUGGUGGCUCACGCCUGUAAUCCCAACACUUUGGGAGGUUGAGGCGGGUGGAUCAUGAGGUCAGGAGAUUGAGACCAUCCUGGCUGACACGGUGUACUAAAAAUACAAAAAAUUAGCCGGGCGUGGUGGUGGGUGCCUGUAGUCCCAGCUACUCGGGAGGCUGAGGCAGGAGAAUGGCAUGAACCCCGGAGGCGAAGCUUGCAGUGAGCCGAGAUCGUGCCACUGUACUCCAGCCUGGGAGACAGAGCGAGACUCUGUCUCACAAAAAUAAUAAUAAUAAUAAUAAUAAUAAUAAUUUGGAGAAUCCUCAACAUUCUUUCUGCUCAUCCCAGUAACCCACUUGACAGCAUGGAGCUCAGAAAUGUGGGGACCCCAGAAGCUCAAGAUCUUCAGCCCCAACUCACAACUUUCUCCCUUGCCAUUGGAAGGGAUUGAGGACCUUGGCUCAAAUCUCUGUUUCUCAAAGUGAUUUCUGGCUCAGCCUAUAUCCAGGUGGAGUAAAGCUUUUACUUAUUGUUUUGGAGUAGGUACAGCCGGACUAGGGUUUGCACCCCAGGAGUUAGGUAGAAUUGGAGUAGCAGAGCCUUUAGCAGAUCUGAUCUCUGGGAAAAGUUCUAAUGUGGCAAUAAUACCACUUUUCCAUAGGAUUAUUACUUAGGUUAAAUGGCAUAAUGGCUAUAACAUGCUUAACACAGUGCCAGGCUUGUGGUGUUUGUAAAUGUUAGCUAUUAUUUUAGUUAGGAAAGCAAGCUAAUGCAGAACAUGAUACCUAAUACAAAAUCCUCCUUAUGCUUAAACAGAGAAGGAGUUAUUUUUCGCAUACAGUAAGAUGUCUAGAAGUAGGUAGUUGCAGGUUUCAGUUCAGGAGCUCAAAAAUGAUGGGGCCAAUGUCUCUGAAAUUCUGGACAUUUCUUCCUAGAUGCAAGAGGGCUGUUAGAACUCAGGCAAUUGCAUCCUUGUUUAAGCCUGGAGAGAGGGGGAAGACUGCCUUAACCACAUCUGACAUCUUUCAUCAGGAAAGAAAAGCCUUUCCCAGAAAUCCAUGAGAAAAUUUUUGUUUAGGUCUCAAGGGCCAGAACUGGGUCACUAGCUACUCCCUAGCUGCAGAGAGGCUGGGAAAGUUAGGAACAGGAUAAUCAUGAUUGGCACACCAGUAAUGAGCCAUUGCCAGGAAGGAGUAAGCAGUUUAGAUCGUAACGGUGAUUACCGCAGUGAUUGUUACCAGCUCUAGCCUGCCUUCCAUCCAUCUACUUCUCAUUUGUAGCAAAUUAUCAAGUGGUCUCAUGCCAGUUAUAAAUAUUAUUCAUUGUACUCACAGCUCCCUGCACUAAGCCAGCUUUUCUCUUAACCUUUCCCUGUCCAUCUGGAUAACAUUUCUUAUUGUUACUCCUUCCCCAGGAGGAUUUCUGUACUAGUCGCUAUUGCUGAUUAUGCUGUGUAACAAAUAACCCCCAAACAUUAAUGAACAUUUUUUCCUACUCGCAGGUCUGCAGGUCAGCUGAGGGGACUCUGGCCCAGGAUGUGGGUUCAGGUCUGCUUUUGUGUCUCUCAUUCCAGAACCCUAACUUAGGGCACACCAUGUACCUAGGGGAUGCUCUCCUCAUGGUGGAUUAGGAGAGCAAAAAAGGACAAAACCACAUGAGCACAUUGAAAGCUUCUGUUUGCGUCGUGACCACUCAUGUUCCAUUGGCCAUAGCAAGUCCCACAGCUGGGUCUGACGAGGAAGAUUAUUCUUCCCAGGAGAGGGAAGGAGAAAGCAAGUAUUUGCUGAACAGGAAUCAAAUCCAUUGCACCUUCUCAAGCCAAAACUAGGUUAGGAGUCCUCUUUGGGCACCCAUGGUCCUUAAUGCAUCCUUCUGUUACAGCUUUGGAUUCUCCAUUGCCCUUACCUAUUCCGUUGUCUGUCUUCCCCAGUGGAUUGCAAAAAGAUUGCUAUGGCUGAGAUGUGUAAGUCUUUUAUGAGAUCUAGGUGACAGCUGAUAAGUGUAGUUAUGGUCAUGAUGGUCAAUUCUUUAACAGUUUAUUAACAAAAUAACAAAAGUUACAAAAUGAAAAUAUAAAGGAUAAGUUAUUCGAGGACUAUGGUUGGACUCUAGUUCUGAACAUUAUUUAAACUCGAUGUUAACAUGCUGUAGAUAAUAACAUAUCCACAGAACAGAAGCUAGGUCUUCCAUUGGCCAUAACAUAUGCCUCUAAAUGCCCUCCCCCCUACCAAAGUAGCAUCCAGAGGUAUGUGCUAUUACUUGAGAGAUCAUUCUGCAAUUUAAAAUUUAAACUCGACAAAUUAUUAAUACCAUAAACAUUUCAGUGUCAAACACUGAAGAUGCAAUGAUAACACCUGGCUAUCCUGCUCAGGUAGCUCACAAUCUGAAGGGUAGAUGGUGGUGGGAGCAGAGCAGUUAACAGAUAAAAUGAAAAGUAGUAAGUGGAGCUCUUAUUUGUUGCUGGUGGGAAUGCAAAAUGGUACAGCCACUUCAGAAGACAGUUUGGAAGUUUCUGGCAAAACUAAGUAUACUCUUACCAUAAGAUCCAGCAAGCAUGCUCCUUGGUAUUUAUCCAAAGGAGCCGAAAACUUACAUCCACACAAAAACUUCCACUCAGACAUUUCCAGUAGCUUUGUUCAUAACUGCCAAAACAUGAAAGCAACCAGGAUGUCUUUCAAUAGGUGAAUGGAUAAACAAACUGUGGUACAUACAUGCAGUGGAAUAUUAUUCAGCACUAAAAGCAAAUGAGCUAUAGAAAAGAUGUGGGGGUAGAUGCUAAUUUGACUCCUUAACUUAACUAUCUGACCUUGAACUAGUUACUUAGUCUCUAGACCUCAAUUUCCUCAUCUGCAGAAUGUGAAUAAUGAGUGUUCUUGUGCAAAUUAAAUGAGAUAUGUAUUUAUACUAGAUAUUGUCAUUUUUUCCUUCAGAUCCACUGUCCACCUGCUACUCCUUGGUCUCCCUCCCAAGGAGGCUGACCUGCAUGGACCACUAGAGGCUCCCUUGUCCUUUGCUUUUUUUUUUGGUUUAGCCAAUAGGGUGCCCAGACAGAAGAUGAGAGGGAGGGCUGAGAGUGAGGCUGGGGAUUUAUUCUGAAUGCUUGCCCUGCAGCAUUGCCUUAGGCUGUCACUAUUCCUCCCCAGAAGCUUUCUAGGAGACUCUCCUUCUGUGUUCUGGAAAACUACUCCCUACCCUCUUCCCUUCAGGCUUAAGGACAGGUAACAGCCCUGCCAUUACUAGCUCCAGGGCAGAGCAUCAUCUCUACAACCUGCCACAUCUUUGCAAAUAAUCCCUUUAUUAAACUUUCCUAAGAAAAUCCCAAUUUAAAAAAAAAAAAAAAAAAAAAAAAAAAGAAAAGAUGUGGGGGAACCUUAAAUGCAUAUUGCUAGUAAAAGAAGCCAAUCGGAAAGGCUACAUACUGCAAGAUUUCAACUAUAGGACAUUCUGGAAAAGGCACAACUAUGGAGACAGUAAAAAGAUCAGUGGUUGCCAGGGGCUCAGGGGAGGGAGAGAGGGAUAAAUAGGUCGAACACAAUAUUUUUAGGGCAAUGAAACUAUUCUGUAUGAUACUGUAAUGGUUGAUACCUGUCAUUAUAUCUUCAUCAAACCUAUAGAAUGUACAAUACAAACAGUGAACCCUAACGUAAUCUAUAGAUUUUGGUUGAUAAUAAUGUAUCCAUAUUUAGUCAUCAAUUGUAACAAAUGUACCACACUAAUGCAAGAUGUUAAUAUAGGGGAAAGUCCGAGAAGAGGUGUUGAGGAAGUUAUAUGGUAACUAUACUUUCUACUCAAUUUUUCUGUAAACCUGCAACUGCCCCCCAGAAUAGUCUAUUAAUGUAGAGAACAAGGUAAUAAAGUGCAAUAAAAGGGAUAUGUACAAAGUGUUAUGACAACACAGAGAAAGCACACAGGGAAACCCUUCCAGGGGAGAUGGGUUUGAACUGAGUCUUGAAGGACAAUAGAAAUUCACCAGGUAGAGCAAGGAGAAAGGUGAACCUGGCGGAAAGCACCACCUGUACCAAGGUGUCAAUGACAGGAUCAUCACCUGUUGUGUCCACUGACCAAGUAUCUAGAGUGCUGCCUGCCCUAGAGAGGGCGCUCAAUAAAUAUUUGUUGAGUGAACGGAUGGUAACUUGACAGGACAUAACACGGUGGAGCUUUAUUUCCUAGCUAGGCAUAAAGACUAUCGAAAAGUGCAAUAGGUACUUUUUUUUUUUUUUAAGACGGAGUUUUGCUCUUGUUGCCCAGGCUGGAGUGCAAUGGUGUGAUCUCAGCUCACCGCAACCUCUGCCUCCUGGGUUCAAGCAAUUCUCCUUCCCCAGCCUCCUGAGUAGCUGGGAUUACAGGCAUGUACCACCACACCUAUCUAAUUUUGUAUUUUUAGUAGAGACAGUGUCUCUCCAUGUUGGUCAGGCUGGUCUCAAACUCCCGACCUCAGGUGAUCCACCCCACUCAGCCUCCCAAAGUGCUGGGAUUAUCGGUGUGAGCCACCGCGCCAGGCCAAUAGGGCCAUAUUUUAUAACCUCCCCUUCCUAUCCAUCCUUAAUGGUGAAAAGGGUAUCAAAUGUUUCCAAUUGCUCUUUGGCUGGGGAAAAAACAUCUUCUUGAUGUUGAUAUUCAUGCUCUAAAGGUAAUUAGAUGCCAGAGAAGAGACCGGAUUGUAGGCGAUGGCAGCUUGCUUACAGUAUACAUUUAUAAACAAGCAAAAUCAAAACUGUAAAGUCGCAUUUCAAGAUGGUUUUGUGUUUCUCCACAUUGAGCCAACAGCCUGUGGACGAUAUCAUAUACUCCACUGGAAUUGGCCGCCUGGGCCAAAUGAGAAAGCUAUCUCCAUAGAGGCUUUGAAGCAGAAGGUUUGGGCACUGAGCAGGGAGGGAGAAGCGCCACCCCUGCGGGGCUUAGCUCAGUCCACAGGGUCUGGGGGCAAAUCUCAUGCAAAACACGAGUGGGACUGGUACCAACGUCAAAGAAGAGACACUUUGGAAUCCAGCCUCUGUCACCAGGAGCUUCCCCUCCAGGCCUCUGGCAGAGAGGUGUGGUCCUUCCUCCCUGAUCUUUCAUCUCUUGGAAUCUCUAGUUGCUAGGCGCGGGUGAACAGUGUCAAAACCCAGCCCAUGAUAGAUUUAUCAUCCCCCUUACUGAGAACUGCCUAUGGCCACAUACUGUGCUUAGCAUGUACACAUUUUGGUUUAUAUAAACCUUCCAACAAGGUGCCAGGUGGGUAACGUGAUUGAGAUUAGGAAACUCAGGCUGAGGAAAGUUAAGUCACUUACUCAGUGUCACCUGGGAAUAAGUGGCAGGGCUGGGGUUAGAACUCCCAUCUGUCUGGCUUCAAGCUUAUGUGCUUUCCAUUAUGUGCAGCCACCCUGCCAACUACUCAGCAGGGGCCUUCUGAUGGACACUGUGAGAGGACAAGACACAAAAGAAAUGUAUACAAUGGAGAAGACAAUGAUACAAAUGAUACAAAGGAGAAGACAAUGGGCUUCUCCUUUGCCCCUGAGACUUCCUUUGAAAAAUAAUUUGCAAAAUCCCGCUCCCUGUGCCUUGCUCUAGAGUUUGAAGGCUUGGGCCUGUGAACAGUGAGCUCUCAGGAGGCACAGAUCGCUCCCUUAGGCACCAUGCUUGAGACUUGACCACAUUUCAGGCUGGCUCCGCCUGCUCUAGGCUGUGUCUCUAAAGGUGGCCCCACCCCUGCCUUGCACUAAGUCUUUACUCAAGAAAAUGCAAUGCUACCAAACCACAAAAUGUGCAUUGUCCCAACCCAGCUUGCACCAAAUUGUUUUCAGGAAUUCUCUAGUGACCCCUUCUGUAAUUUCCAUUUCCACAUAAACCCCAGGCCCUUUUUGUUCCCCCUUCUUCACUUCCCCAGCAUCCCUUUUUGUUCUCUCUCUGUUCUCCCUUCAGAAGCCUCAGUCCCCUUUAAUUGGGGCUGAGUUCUGUCUGACCUGGAAUCUCCCCCAAAGCAGGAGUCUGAAUAAAACCUGUCUUGCCACCUUUCACAAGUGUUUUGCGCUGUGUGUGUGUGUGUGUGUGUGUGUUUUUUUUUUUUUUCAUUGAUAGUUCAAAUCCUAUUUCCUCUGGGUAUUGUCUGUGUGUCCUUGGGUGAAUCACUUCACUUCUCUGAGUCUCAACUUCCUCAUCUUCAAAAUGAGAACGUAGGUAGGCCCACCUUGCUGCAAGGUGAUGAGGGAAGGCCCUCGCCAGGGGCCUGUCACUCCUUACUCAGGAAUAAUCACUGACCCAUCCCCACAGUGCUGGAACUCUUCUAGGCAUUGGGAGUAGAGAGAAGCAACACAGAGUUCCUGCCCACAGAGAGUGGACUUUCUAGUGAAGAAACAAACAACACACAGGGAAACCUAUCUGUAUUUGUCUGUUUUCAUGCUGCUGAUAAAGACAUACCUGAGACUGGGCAGUUUACAAAAGGAAGAAAGGUUUAAUGGACUUACAGGUUCACAUGGCUGGAGAGGCUUCACAAUCAUGGUGGAAGGCAAGGAGGAGCAAGUCACGUCUUACAUGGAUGGCAGCAGGCAAAGAGAGAGCUUGUGCAGGGAAACUCCCAUUUUUAAAACCAUCAGAUCUCACGAGACGUAUUCACUAUCGCAAGACCAGCACAGGAAAGACCUGCCCCCAUGAUUCAAUUACCUCCUACUGUGUCCCUCCCACAACAUGUAGGAAUUCAAGAUGAGAUUUGGAUGGGGACACAGCCAAACCAUAUUACCAUCUUAAAAUAUCAAGCAGUGAAAGCAUGAUGAAGAAAGUUAACACAGGUGGAGGGAUGCAGGUGACCAGGAGGAGGAGGAGCUAUUUUCCAAGACCUCUCUGAUGGGGGACAUUUGCACAGGGAGCACCAUGUAGAAAUCUUGAGGGUUCACACUCCAAGCAAAGAGAAGAGCAAGUGCAAAGGCCCAGAGGCAGGAGAGCACUGGACCUGUUCCAGAAACCUCCAGCAGGCCAAUGUAGCUGAAACACAGCCAGGCACAGGGGCUGAGACAGGAGGUGGGCCAGGCCAUCUAGGGCUCAGGGACCAUGGUCAGGACUCUAUAUUCAUCCCAAAGGUGAUAGGGAAGCACUAAGGUUACAGUGUAACCAUAUCCAUGUCUCAAUCACCUGCCUAACUCUACUAGAAGGAGGGAACGUGUCAGUGCUGGUUGAAUUGUGACUUUCUCAUGGGGUAGGGGGUGGGUUAUAGGAACAUGAGAUAUAAAACGUACCAGAAAAGGUAUCCAACCUCUAGGCGUCCCCCUCCUUGGACACCUUCAGGUUCCAUGGCGAUAUGAUUUGGCUCUGUGUCCCCACCCAAAUCUCAUCUCAAAUCGUAAUCUGAGCAGUGGAGUAAUAUGAUCUAAGCUUUAUACAUCCUAUAUAUUUAACACCAUCUCAAAUUUACAAAAAAAGUUACAAGUAUGGGACAAAUAAUUUUUGUCCCUGAGUCAUCUGAAAGUAAGCUGCCAGCAUGAUGCCUGUCACCCCUGGACACUUUACUAUGCAUUUCCAACAAACAGAGAGAAUGACCAUCAAAAUCACGACGUUCACAACAUGCAUUUUUACCAUUUGAACCUCAGACCACAUUCAGGUUUCAUCCUUUGUCCCAAUAAUGUUCUUUAUAACAAAAGGAGCCAGGGUGGAAUCACACAUUGCCUUUAGAUAUCAAGCUCCUUUAGUCUCCUUCAGUCUGAAAUGUUUUCUCAGUCUUUCUGUGAUUUUCGUGACCUUGACUCUUUUGAAGAUGACUGGCCAAUCAUUUGAUAGAAUAUCCUUCAAUCUGCAUUUGUCUGACCUUUCACCCUGAUUAGAAUUAGGAUAUGCAUCUUUGGCAGAAAUAUCACAUGAAUGGCAAUGUGUUCUCUAGGUUGCAUCCUAUCAGAUGCACAAGAACUCAAUUUGUCCCAUGACUGAUGAUGUUCACCUGCAUCACCUGGUUAAAGUGGCAUCUGCCCACCUUCUCCAUUGUGAAGUUACUAUUUUUACUGUUCUUCCCUCUGCAGUUGAUAAUUAUUUUUAUAUAAAUAUCCUGUUCCUCAUGAAACCUUCAAUGUAUUCAGUUAUUAAUAACACUGUGGACUCCUGUUUUCCUGUUUUAUUCUGUGGGCCAUAAUUCUUAACUCUCAUUACUUAUUUGUAUUUAGAUUACUCCAGAAAUGUCCAGCAGUGGCUUCUGUGUUCUGGCAUGUUUCCAUCAUUGUUUGGGUGCUUAAUUUCUGGGUAACAAGAUGUUCUAGGCUCCUUUCUGCCUCAGUCCCAGAAUCAACCAUUUCUUCUAGGGUGCAUCUUCCUUUUAGUUGAGAUGAAAUUUGGAAUCCAAAACCUGGGUACAAUGUAGGCUCACUGCUUUUGGAAUGUCAGUGCCCUCAGGUUCUCUCAAUAGACAAAACUAAGGAAUAUAUGUGUUUAUAUACACAUCUAGUUGCAAGUAUACAUACAUGCACACAUCUUUCAUCUAUAUUUCUAUGUCGAUUUAGGUAUUGAAUGUUAUGAGUUCCUAUCAAUACCUCCAAUCGCAAUCCCCUCUACAAGGGUCUUUCCAGAUUCUCUCUUUCCAUAUUUGUAACUUGAUGCUCCAACAGCAAGAAAUCUUUCUCCUUUGCUUUUAAUAUAUUUGCCUACCUGAUGAGUCCCCAUGGGUAUAAAUAAUCCUCCAUCUCCAUUGCCAUUCUCUCCCUUAGAAGGAUGUUAUUCUUGGUCCACUGGGGUCCUGACAGCUGGUGCUAGGCCUUCUCCAUGCAUGGAUGCCCUGCUCAUCCUGCCUGGCCUCUGACAUCUUUAUGGGGUCACUUUUCUCUCCUUGUAUCUAACACCCUACACUGAGCUGCCCCUUUUGGUGCUUUCUUCAUUUAGCCAGAGCUCAAACACUCAUGCCUGGCAGCCCUCCUCCUUGGAUGCCUUCUUCAGGUUCCAUGGUGAUAUGGUUUGGUUCUGUGUCAUCACCCAAAUCUCAUAUCAAAUUGUAAUCCCCAUGUGUUGGAGGAGGGGCCUGGUGGGAGAUGAUUGGAUCAUGGGGGUGGAUUUCUCCCUUGCUGUUCUCAUGAUAGUGAGUGAGUUCUCACAAGAUCUGAUGGUUUUAAAGUGUGACACUCCCCUCUUUCCACCCCUCCUGCUAUCAUGCCUUCCACCAUGAUUGUAAGUUUCCUGAGGCCUCCCCAGUCAUGGGAACUCUGAGUUAAUUAAACCUCUUUUCUUUAUAAAUUACCCAGUCUCAGGUAGUUCUUCAUAGCGUGUGAAAACGAACUAAUACACAUAGCCUGAUAUUCUGCUCCAGGCCACCCUUUGAUAGAGGCUCUCCUUACUCCACCUGUCCCACCUGACCAGCUGAAAGGAGGCACAUGUAUCACACCUGUUCAGUGGCAGCUUAGGCCCUCUCUCCUUGGAAGGGUAUAUCAAUUUUCACAGUUUGUGGCUCUGCCAUUUUCAAAGGCUACAGUGAAAUCUGAGCAGGAAAUGAAAAUCAUCCAUUUCUGCAGUACUCCCUGAAAUCAUUACAUCAUCACUAACUUUCCCCGAGUUCCCAUGUGAUGUUGGAGCUGGAAGGCCCCCAUUUACCAGAACCAGAUAGCUUAUUUCAUGCCUGUUUGCUUUUGCACAGGCUGUCUCUCUGCUUGGAAUGCUUUUCCCAUGUGCGAUAAACCCCUCCAUUCCAAAUAUUUUAACUCUGUGAAACUUUCUUUGAUCCCUAAAUUUGACCCCAAGUUAAUCAUUUUUCUCCCUCUGCUACAAUUUUCACAUUUAGCUUUUAAAAGAUAUUUAAUAUAUUGUGCACCUCUUAUACUAGGCUGUGAACUCCAACUCCCUGAGACAAGUUGUUCAUUCAUUCGUCAAAUAUUUAUUGAGCUCCUACCAUUGUAAAAGGCUCUGUGCUAAGUACUAAGGAUGAAAAUGGAGAACAAGAUGCAGCACUUUCCCUCAAAGAGCUUGCAGUCUAGUGGGGAGUUUCAUUAGGUAACCAAGCCAUCCUAAUCCAUAUUGCUGGCUUAGAGUCUGACACAUGGAAGAUGGUGAAUGAAUGCUUAUUGGAAUUUCUAAGACUGGUGGCAAGAGCAUGGAACACAGUACUCAUUCCCUGCUAAAGACUGUUCUCGCUGUCUCUGUCCUCAAGGAGCUGGUUGUUUACUGGGAGAGACAGACACCAACUGUAUAUAAAAAGAGCACUAGAGUGUUUUCCAGGCCAUGAUGUGGCACACUCACUGUGAGCUGCUGCAGCAGACACCGUUGGGUCUGCCCAGGGCCCUCAGAUAUCCUGCAUGCCCUUUUCUGGCUCUGCAUGCCCAUCCUCCAUGCUUCUGUGAGCUCCACUCUUAAGACUCACCCUGCAGCCUUCUUGGAGGGACUAACCUGGGCUACUGCAGCCACUUCUGCAAUGGCAGUGAGCGUCAGCAUUUCAAAAACAGACAGGCAGGAGGGUAGGACAGCCCGUGUUCCUUGCCUCCAAGCAGAUGUAACCUACUCUGGGGAGCUCGGGAUCAGGCUGGGACUGGGACUUCUGAUGUGAUGUCCUUGUGUGGCCUCUUCUCCUUUCCUCUCCUGCUUCCUCCACUCCCCUCUUGCUUUCUUGUGAGAGCACUUCCUUCAUAAAUACUUUGCCCAGUCAUUCUCCACGGGUUAGCAUGUGGGAAACCUGGUCCAGACACUGCGUUCGCAAUACCUGGCCCUGCUAAUGUGUAGCUCACAGGGCAGGUGUGUGCUCCAGCCGGGAAUCCAGCCAGCUAAGUAUCUGAUAUAGUUUGGCUGUGUCCCCACCCAAAUCUCAUCCUGAAUUGUAGUUCCCAUAAUCCCCAGUGUCGUGGGAGGGACCCAGUGAGAGGUAAUUUAGUCAUGGGGGCUGUUACCCUCAUGCUGUUCUUGUGAUAGUGAAUGAGUUCUCAUUUGACAGUUUUAUAAGGGGCUUUUCCCCUCUCUGCUCAGCACUCCUCCUUCCUGCCCCCAUGUAAAGAAGAACGCGUUUGCUUUCCCUUCCGCCAUGAUUGUAAGUUUCCUGAGGCCUCCCCGGCCAUGCUAAACUGUGAGUCAAUUAAACCUCUUUCCUUUAUAAAUUACCCAGUCUCAGGUAUGUUUUUAUUAGCAGCGUGGGAAUGGUCUAAUACAGUAUCCAACCAAUCAAGUGCAGCUUCAGAGACCUUGGGCUUUAAGAAAAGGGCUGAAGGCCAGAGAAGAUUUCUCAGUGAAGGUGAGUUGAGCAGGGCCUUAGGGGAGGGUAGGUCAUUAGGUAGAAAGUUGGGCAUUGCAAGGCGAGAAAACAGUGUAUGAGCUGCUGUGAAAGACAUGGGAAGGGGAGAAGCUCAGGCUGUUUCUCCUCCACCAGAGAAUGCCCUCCUCCUUCCUCCCCCUUCCUCCCAACACACACACACACACAACACACACACACACACACACACACACCAGUUUUCUCCCGGAAACUGAGCUAAUCCAGCCACGCCCCGACAGACAUUUGCAGUGAUUUUACACACACACACACACACACACACACACACCAGUUUUCUCCCUGAAAUUGAACUAAUUCAGCCAGGGCCCCCCUACAAACGUUUGUAGUGAUUUUACUCCCAGCGUGGACUCUCCUGCCCGGUCAGCUUCAAGGAUUCCUUUGGUCCCAGAAAUAGCCAAGGUGGCGGUGAAGGGAGGAGCUGUUUCAUUUCCGAAAUGAAAAAGUUUAAGAUAAUUACACAGACGGCUUGAGCCUGCAAUGGACAAAAAGUUUCAUUAUUGGACCCCUUUGGGGAAGGCGCCUCCCAUCCCCAAAGGAGCGGGUUAACCGCUCGGCUGGCGCGGCCCCGCCCGGGUCGCCGUCUGAGAGGGACGGUCGCGCCCCCUUUGAAGUGCGGCCGCGCCUAAUGAGGGACUCGCUGGGCCUCGGGAUCAAGUGUCAGCGCCG
rnacentral:lncRNA from 1 species